rnacentral:rRNA from 1 species
UUCUGGCUCAGGAUGAACGCUAGCGGCAGGCUUAACACAUGCAAGUCGAGGGGCAUCGGGAGUAGCAAUACUUGCCGGCGACCGGCGCAAGGGUGCGUAACGCGUGAGCAACAUGCCCGUAUCAGGGGGAUAAUCCAUGGAAACGUGGUCUAAUACCCCAUAGUAAUUAUGUAAGGCAUCUUAUAUAAUUUAAAGCUUUGGUGGAUACGGAUUGGCUCGCGUGACAUUAGCUAGAUGGUAAGGUAACGGCUUACCAUGGCUACGAUGUCUAGGGGUUCUGAGAGGAAGGUCCCCCACACUGGAACUGAGACACGGUCCAGACUCCUACGGGAGGCAGCAGUGAGGAAUAUUGGACAAUGGAUGGAAAUCUGAUCCAGCCAUGCCGCGUGCAGGAAAGACGGCCCUAUGGGUUGUAAACUGCUUUUGUAUGGGAGCAAUAAGGGCUACGUGUAGUCCGAUGAGAGUACCAUACGAAUAAGCACCGGCUAACUCCGUGCCAGCCGCAGC